GCUGGCUAAGGAAGACUGAUAAAUAGUUUAUGUCAUUCAUUGAUUUACUUCAUCAAUCACCCAACAAAAGGCAAGGUAACUACAUAUUAAAUAAUAAAGUUAAACGAAUUACUUCACCAUUUAUACAACAAGGCAAAAUAAGUUAAUUCUAAUACUCUAUUCAAGAGUAAAAAUACUAAUUUCAAUCUCUUAUGUUAAUUUAUUUACUUCAUCAAUGAUCUUCUCU
rnacentral:lncRNA from 1 species